ACUCAAAUGAAUAGACGGGGGAGCGCACAACCGGUGGAGCAUGUUGUUUAAUUCGAUACGAAGCGAAAAACCUUACCCAGACUUGACAUGUACCUGCACGGUUAUAGAAAUAUAGCCUUCUUCGAGAGUGGUACACAGGUGAUGCAUGGCUGUCGUCAGCUUGUGUCGUGAGACGCCCGCUUAAGUGCGGUAACAAGCGCAACCCUUAUCCUGUGUUGUAUUUCACAGGAGACUGCUCUCGCUAUCGCGAGGGAGGAAGGAGAGGAUGACGUCAAGUCAGCACGUCCCUUACGUCUGGGGCCACAAACAUCCUACAAUGGAGCCGACAACAGGUUGCGACGGGGUAACCCCGAGCCAAUCCUAUAAACGGCUCCUCAGUUCAGAUUGAGGGCUGCAAUUCGCCCUCAUGAAGUCGGAAUCGGUAGUAAUCGCAAAUCAGCAGGUUGCGGUGAAUACGUUCUCGCUCCUUGUACACACCGCCCGU
rnacentral:rRNA from 1 species